GGAUGGGGGCGAGCACGAGGCAGCCAAUGAAUGAUUCUCUCUCAUCAUUGAUGUUUCUCUCUCUCGCAAAUCAAUAAAAAUAUGUAUUUUUUAAAAGAGACUGAGGUACAGAGAGAAAGAGCAUUUUGCCCAAGUCACAUAGCUGGUAACUGGCAUAGUGGGGAUUCAAACUGAGCCUGUGUCCUCAACCAUUACAUGUCCUCCUUACAGAUGAAUGAAGAAGCUAUACUAUAUGUGUACCUCGAGCUGUGUGACAGGACAAGCUUUCACCAUAAGGUCUCUAAGUGUUCCGUGUGGUAGCUAGCAUUAUGAUUACUACUAUUAUUUAUUCACUUGGGGAAGAAUAUGUGAGAAGUGGGAUCUGGGCAGAGGACUUGGAGGUAAAUGGUGAGGGGGGGGAUGAAAGGCUCUAGCGUUAACAGCCCCUUUCCCUUUCCUGCAGAGAUGGGGACACUGAAGAGCAUCAAGACCCUCCCUGGUGACCCUCCACUGUGCAACCCAGCUCCCCUGAGGCCCCAAGGCCAGGGAACAAAGGCAACUCUAAGAACACAGACUCCUGAGUCAGGCAGACCAAGUGCAACGUGGGGGGAGCUCCCUCCCUAGAUGAGUGACAUCAUAAUCCCAGGACCUGUUUCCCCGUCUGUGAAAGAGGGCUGUGCUACAAGCUCUGAAGAAGUUCCUGCUGUGGGACUGGGACACAUGCACAAAGCUGCUUAUGGCAAUGGGAACUGGCGUAGCCACGAACUGAAACAACCCAUGUGAGAGAAUGGAGACAUAGAUUUCCACGGUGGAAUAUUCUAUAGCUAUAGAAAUGGAUGCACAAACUAUGACACCUGGAAUUCAUUUUUAAAUCGAUGUUACACGAAUAAAGGCCUUUGCAUAUGCUAUUCCCUCUGCUUGGAACACUCUUCCUUCAGCUCAUCUCACAGAGGGCUGCUUGUCCUUCAGACCUCAGCUCAAAUGUCACCCUCUCAAGCUGGGGAAACUGAGGUAGGAACCGUGUUCAUAAUAAGUGGGAAAUCAGGAAUUGGACCAAGUACCCUCAUUCCAGAAAUCCUGGUCUUGCCCAGGGCUUCAGAUGCACCAAAUCGGCAAGGUAGGGAUGACGAACGGUAAGAAGGGAAGGAUGGGAGGAAGGACAGAUUAUAGAAAGAGGAGAAAAGAGAGAUUAUAGAAGAGGGACGGAAGGAAGAAAAGAAAGAUCAUGCCAAGAAGUAAAAUAAAAAAGAAAGAUUAUACCUAAAAGAGAAAAAGAAAGAAAAUAAAAAUGAUUGUGCCCAUACAGCUCUCUUAGCUCUGACUGGCAGGGAGGGAGCCACCAAUAACAGCAGAACCUACUUGGUAAGGUUGUUUUGUCCAGCGCUCAGAGCUGGGGGCAGGUCCUCAGACACCUGAGCUCUCACUAUCAUUAUCGGAAACAUUAUCUUCCCCACCGCUCUUAUGAUUGCUCCUGAACGACGGGACAGUAAGAGGGGGCCCCAGAAAGGGACAAAGCAGCCCCAAAGGGGAAUCAGGGCCCCCUGGCCCUGCUGUCUUCCCCAAAUAUUCAUACUGUGGGUGCGGAUGGUGACAGAAAUAACAAUUCCAGUGGGUCGAUCCCCGCGUGUUCGCAGCAGGGCUGCGGGGCCAAGUGGUCGCCCCCGGCUGCGGGUUGUGCUAAUUGUUUGGGGUGGAGACCCCUGUCGUUCCCAUGGUUACGGAGCGUGAGACCGAGGCUCCGAGAGGCGAGCGCGCGGCCGGUGCCGGCG